GGUUGUAUGGUGUAAUGGUUAGCACUCUGGACUCUGAAUCCAGUAAUCCAAGUUCAAAUCUCGGAAGGACCU
rnacentral:tRNA from 1 species